CUGCUGCCUUCCGUAGGAGUUUGGGCCGUGUCUCAGUCCCAAUGUGGCCGGUCACCCUCUCAGGUCGGCUACUGAUCGUCGCCUUGGUGAGCCGUUACCUCACCAACUAGCUAAUCAGACGCGGGUCCAUCUCAUACCACCGGAGUUUUUCACACAAAGAUAUGCAUCCCCGUGCGCUUAUGCGGUAUUAGCAGUCAUUUCUAACUGUUAUCCCCCUGUAUGAGGCAGGUUAUCCACGCGUUACUCACCCCG
rnacentral:rRNA from 1 species